CAACGCUGAGCCAAUUGUGCACCGCACUAUGGGACUCCCAAUCACAGCCAGUUGUGAUACAGCCUGGAUUCGAACCAGAGUGUUUGUAGUGACGCCUCUAGCACUGUAUCAGGAAAUGAAAGCAGUAUCAGGAAAUGAUCUCCAUAACAGAUUUUUCGGCAGUUAACAACUAAACAACUAAACAUUAUUUAUAAAAGCAAUCUAUUCAUAUAUAUUUUUUCACACUGUAUUUUCUUGACAAGCAUGAUUGAUAACUGUUCUUGUAGUUUAUGGUUGACCAGCUGGUUGGCCAUUAGCCAAUCGGCGUUUCAACGAGUUCAAAGCAUGUGUGAAUGCAUCCAAAUUGCAACGAGUAAUUACCACCUUCCCAUGUGGUUAUGCUGCGUUCAUGUGCUCGUCGGAGUAUUUGAUUUCGAUAAUAUGGCUUUGUUUCAUUCAUUUGCUUUUUGGUCUGACUCUGCAAACUUGUUAGAUGCAUUUUCUGUUUGUUUUGCUUGUUUUUCAGUUUAUGUUGUGCCCAAUAGAAAUUCAUGAUAAAUAAUGUAUUUUAGGAAGGUAGAAAGAAAGUAAUUUGAACCGGUGAUUCAUAACAUUUGGAUCAGUUUGGGGUCCUGGGGACCGAUGCAUUCAAAUCUUAAAUAUUUGAACCGGGGACCAAUACCUAUCAUGAAUCGUUACAUCCCUAAUGUUUCCUACUCUCCUUGUCUGUUCCAAUCUCACUGUGUAUUUGCUUCCUUUCAGGACUAGAAGACACUGGGUAUCUCUCCUCUGAUGGCUGCCAUGAAUGGUCACGUCCCUGCGGUCAAGCUGCUGGACAUGGGCUCAGACAUCAACACUCAGAUCAAGACCAAACGUAACACAGCACAGACCCUGGCCUGCCAACGUGGAGCACUGCGUCAAGGCUGUGUCAGAUGGCUAUACUGAGAUGGGGCGUGUGCUACUGGACAAGAGCGCUUACACCUGUCCAAACCUCCCAAGACACCGUGUGCACCUUUGCUGCAGACAAGGGCCACUACGAGUUCUGUGAGCUCCUCAUCAACACGUAAUUACUGUUACAGUCUACCUUCAGUAUGAGAGUGAGUGUCAUUUCAGUCAGAAUACCAUUCCUCUCCAGUCUCAUUGCUCAGACCUGCAACUAGUCUCUGAGUGAGUUAUUAUAGUGUUAUAACCAGCAGUGUGUGUAGUUCGGCAUUUGCUUCUCGCUAAAGUCCAAACUAUUCACAUUUCCUCUCUCCUUUAGUCUGGUCCAUCUCAGAGCUGUGACCAAUCAAAUCAAUUAAAAUCAAAGUUUAUUGUGCACCGAAUACAACAGGUGUAGUAGACCUUAUAGUGAAAUGCUUACUUACAACCCUCAUAUCCCGGGCAUAACAUGUGACUUCAAUCUGAGUGAAUAUGUAUUCUGUUGUAGAUGGUGCUCUGCUCCCUACCCUGUGAUUUGUUGUAUGAAUUGCUGUGAUUUGAGGCUGUAGUUUAUGUUUAAUUUUUAUUGUAUUUGUGUGUAUAAGGGGACACUGCUGUGGUGGCUGUGUGGCUCAGGGCUAUGUUCCCUACUCCCUACAAAGCAUUUUGUUGUAUAAAUUGUAAUAAUAUAAUUUCUUCUUGUUUUUCUUGUUUUGUUUUUUGGUAUAAAAUAUAAUUCUGAGCAAUGA